rnacentral:rRNA from 2 species
CUUGCAUCAUGAUUUACAUUUGAGUGAGUGGCGAACUGGUGAGUAACACGUGGGAAACCUGCCCAGAAGCGGGGGAUAACACCUGGAAACAGAUGCUAAUACCGCAUAACAACUUGGACCGCAGGGUCCGAGUUUGAAAGAUGGCUUCGGCUAUCACUUUUGGAUGGUCCCGCGGCGUAUUAGCUAGAUGGUGGGGUAACGGCUCACCAUGGCAAUGAUACGUAGCCGACCUGAGAGGGUAAUCGGCCACAUUGGGACUGAGACACGGCCCAAACUCCUACGGGAGGCAGCAGUAGGGAAUCUUCCACAAUGGACGAAAGUCUGAUGGAGCAACGCCGCGUGAGUGAAGAAGGGUUUCGGCUCGUAAAACUCUGUUGUUAAAGAAGAACAUAUCUGAGAGUAACUGUUCAGGUAUUGACGGUAUUUAACCAGAAAGCCACGGCUAACUACGUGCCAGCAGCCGCGGUAAUACGUAGGUGGCAAGCGUUGUCCGGAUUUAUUGGGCGUAAAGCGAGCGCAGGCGGUUUUUUAAGUCUGAUGUGAAAGCCUUCGGCUCAACCGAAGAAGUGCAUCGGAAACUGGGAAACUUGAGUGCAGAAGAGGACAGUGGAACUCCAUGUGUAGCGGUGAAAUGCGUAGAUAUAUGGAAGAACACCAGUGGCGAAGGCGGCUGUCUGGUCUGUAACUGACGCUGAGGCUCGAAAGUAUGGGUAGC